rnacentral:rRNA from 1 species
UACGUAGGGUGCGAGCGUUAAUCGGAAUUACUGGGCGUAAAGCGUGCGCAGGCGGUUUUGUAAGCCAGAUGUGAAAUCCCCGGGCUUAACCUGGGAAUGGCAUUUGGGACUGCAAGGCUCGAGUGCGGCAGAGGAGACUGGAAUUCCUGGUGUAGCGGUGAAAUGCGCAGAUAUCAGGAAGAACACCCGUGGCGAAGGCGGUUCUCUGGGACGGUACUGACGCUGAGACGCGAAAGCGUGGGGAGCGAACAGG